GGGUGUAGCUCAGUGGUAGAAGUGUGUGCUUAGCAUGCAUGAGGUCCUGGGUUCAAUCCCCAGUACCUCCA
rnacentral:tRNA from 1 species